AGAGCGAACGCUGGCGGCAGGCCUAACACAUGCAAGUCGAACGGACUCUUCGGAGUUAGUGGCGGACGGGUGAGUAACACGUGGGAACGUGCCUUUAGGUUCGGAAUAGCUCCUGGAAACGGGUGGUAAUGCCGAAUGUGCCCUUCGGGGGAAAGAUUUAUCGCCUUUAGAGCGGCCCGCGUCUGAUUAGCUAGUUGGUGAGGUAAAGCUCACAAGGCUACGAUCAGUAGCUGGUCUGAGAGGAUGACCAGCCACAUUGGGACUGAGACACGGCCCAAACUCCUACGGGAGGACAGCGAAGGUGGGGAAUCGUUGGCGCCGAAGUGGGGCGAAAGCCUGACGGCAGCC
rnacentral:rRNA from 1 species